rnacentral:rRNA from 1 species
AUGGUGAGCGCGAGCGACGCCAUGUCCGACGAAUGCAAAGCGAUGCGGCCGCCGAUGGUGAUGGGCACGAUGGUGCUGCAACCGCAGUUCGCCGCGGCUGCAACCGUGCCCGGGGAAAGCUGGAAUCAUGAUCUGGCGAGCUGUGAGGCUCCUACAUGCUGGAGAGGAGGGUUGCUACAACCGCAGCCAAAAAAGCUGGAAGCACUGUCCGGCUGUGCUGGACCCAUCGCCCGGUGGAGCUGCAAGGUGAUGCCCCUGCUGGCUGGAUGCUGCAACCGUGUUCUGUCAGAGCUGGAUCCAUAG